UGCUACUGCUUUUCCAGGUUGGUGAUUGCUUGGCCUGCCAGUGGUUUGAAGAUGCUGUCUAUGGAUCUGCUGCUCUGUUGUUCCAUGCAACACCGCAACAACUGAAGACCUGUGAUGUGGGAUGGAAGUCAGCUACCAAGCAAGAAACCAGGUUUGAAAGACUGCAGCUUGAGUCCAGAUACCACAUGCCGAGAAGAAAGGAACCCAAACAGCUGACGCAGAGUUCAGACUAAACUAACUGCAAGCUCCCCAGGGACAUCACAAGGUAUGGUAUUUUUGAAACACAGCAAGCUGUUGUUGUUCCUCUGUGUGUUGGUAAAUAGUAGCUGCAGACUUUCACCUUGGGAGAGGCACAGGCUGAGCAAACAGUGAACUGCGGGCAUGGACCAGGCACGGAAUUCCAGAGUAGGGAUACAGGGAAGCUCUCCCGACGCAGCUCAUUUCCUAAACCUACUGAUGUUCACCCUCAGCAGGUGCUUAAACAUCAC